UUUAGGUAUGCUCACAGAGAUACCGACACCACGAUCAUAGAGGGACAGCACGCCAUCGAUGUGCUUCGGCAUCUGCGCAUUCUCGGUACUAGCCUACGGGCUCCCAUUUCAACCUAUCUUGAAGCACAGACCAAGGAGUUUGACAUGUGUGCGAGUUAACGGGUGAGUAAAACCAUAAGGCACAAAUAAGCUAAUCGGCGGGAUCCCCUUGAGGGGUGCACCAUUGACCGACUUUGAUCUUUUGAGAAGGGUUCGAGUGUGAGCAUACCUGUCGGAACCCGAAAGAUGGUGAACUAUGCCUGAGCGGGGCAAAGCUUGAGGAAACUCUGGUGGAGGCCCGCAGCGAUAUUGAUGUGCAAAUCAUUCGUCUGACUUGGGUAUAGGGGCAAAAGUCUAAUCGAAUUGUGUAGUAGCCGAUUCUCUCCGAAGUUUCCCUCAGGAUAGCUGGAGCUCGCGUCGAGUUCUAUCGAGUAAAGCCAAUAAUUAGAGGCAUCAAGGGUGCAACGUCCUCGGCCUAUUCUCAAACUUUACAUAAGUAGGAUAAGGGGGCUGCUUUGUUGAGCCGUCUCACGGAAUCAAGAGAUCUAAGUGGGCCAUUUUUGGUAAGAAGAAUUGGAGAUACGGGAUGAACCAGAAAUCAGGGUACGAUGCCCAAUUAUGCACUAACCUUGAUACCACAAGGGGUGUUGGUUGAUUAAGAUAACAGGACAGUGGUAAUGGAAGUCGAAAUCCGCUAAAGAGUGUGUAACAACUCACCUAUUGAAUCAACUAGCCCUGAAAAUAGAUGGCACUCAAGUGUGCAAACUUUACCCAGCCAUCAGGCAAGUGUCGGGUCGGGCCCUAAUGAGUAGGAGGGUACGGUGGUCGCUGCAAAACCUAGGGCACGAGCCCGGGUGGAGCGGCCGUUAGUGCAAAUCUUGGUGGUAGUACCAGAUAUUCAAAUGAGAACUUUGAAGGCCAAAGAGGGGAAAGGUUCCAUGCGAACGACACUUAUACACGGGUUAGUCGAUCCUAAAGAUCGGGGAAAGCCAGACAGACCAGCGCGUUCUGCCCGUGCUCUGUAAGGGAAUCAGGUUAAAGUUCUUGAACCGGAACGUGGCAGCUGACGGCAACAUUAGGGAGUCCGGAGACAUUGGCGGGGGCCUAAGGAGAAGUUAUCUUUUCUGUUUAACAGCCAGCUCACCCUGCAAACAGCUCAGCCGGAGGUAGGGUCUAGCAGCUGGCAGAGCACCCUAUUCACGUGUUGUCCGGUGCACCCACGGUGNCCCUUGAAAAUUUGGAGGACCGAGUGCCCUUCAAGCCCGGUCGUAUUCAUAACCACAUCAAGUCUCCAAGGUGAACAACCUCUGGUCAAUGGAAUAAUGUAGGUAAGGGAAGUCGGCAAAAUAGAUCUGUAACCUCGGAAAAAGGAUUAGCUCUGAGGACUGGGCAUGGGGUCCCAGUCUUGAACCUGCCGGCUAUUGGUAGAUUGCUCGAGUUGCUCCCGCAGCGAAAGCGGGUCACCGCAUGUCGACCGGGGAUGAACUGGGAAUGGCCUCCUCGGGGUUCUUCCCCAAGCGUCGAAUAGCCAACUUAGAACUGGUAUGGACAAGGGAAUUUGAUUGUUUAAUUAAAACAAAGCAUUGCGAUGGUCCCUGCGGAUGCUAGCGUAUUAUGAUUUCUGCCUAUUGUUUUGAAUGUCAAAGUGAAGAAAUUCUACCAAGCGCGGGUAAACGGCGGGAGUAACUAUGACUCUCCUAAGGUAGCUAAAUGCCUCGUCAUGUAAUUAGUGAUGUACAUGAAUGGAUUAACGAGAUUCCCACUGUCCUUGUCUACUAUCCAGCGAAACCACAGUCAAGGGAACGAGCUUGGUAGAAUUAGCAGGGAAAGAAGACCUAAUUGAGCUUGACUCUAUUCGACUUUAUGAAAUGACUUGAGAGGUGUAGCAUAAGUGGUAGCCCUCGAGCGAAAGUGAAAUACAACUAUUUUCAACGUUAUUUUACUUAUUCCGUGAAUCAAAGGAGGGGCCUAUGCCCCACUUUUUGGACAUGAGACCGCCUUGGCAGCCAAUUCGGGCAGAAGACAUUGUUAGGUGGGGAGUUUGGCUAGGGAGGCACAUCUAUUAAAAGAUAACGCAACUGUCCUAAGAUGAUCUCAACGAGAAAAGAAAUCUCAUGUGGAACAAAUGGGUAAAAGCUCGUUUGAUUUUGAUUUCUAGUAUGAAUAUAAACUGUAAAAGUGUGGCCUAACGAUUCUUUAAACCUUCGUAAUUUGAAGCUAGAGGUGUUAGAAAAGUUACCACAGGGAUAACUGACUUGUGGUAACCAAGCGUUCAUAGCAUUGUUGCUUUUUUAUCAUGCAAUGUUGGCUCUUCCUAUUAUUAUGAAGUAGAAUUCACCAAGUGUUGGAUUGUUUACCCACUAAUAGGGAACGUGAGAUGGGUUUAGAUCGUCAUGAGAGAGGUUAGUUUUACCAUACUAAUGACAAUGUCGCAAUAUUAAUUCAACCUAGUACGAGAGGAACCAUUGAUUCCCACAAUUGGUCAUCGCGCUUGGUUGAAAAGCCAGUGGCGUGAAGUUACCGUGCAUUGGAUUAUGGAUGAAUGCCUCUAAGUCAGAAUUUAGGCUAGAAGCUAUGCCCAUCAUCCCUUUGCCAACCCGUUUGGCAGAAGUGCCAUGACGGCCGCCUUGAAGUACAAUUCCCAUCGAGCGGUGGUUAGAAUCCUUUGCAGAUAAAUUAAAUGUGCAAUGGGGUAUUAUAAGGGGCAGAGUGGACUUGCUGCCACUAUCCUCUGAGAUUU
rnacentral:rRNA from 1 species